AACGAACGCUGGCGGCAUGCCUAACACAUGCAAGUCGAACGAGACCUUCGGGUCUAGUGGCGCACGGGUGCGUAACGCGCGGGAACCUGCCCGUAGGUUCGGAAUAACUCCCCGAAAGGGGUGCCAAUACCGGAUAAUGUCUUCGGACCAAAGAUUUAUCGCCUUUGGAUGGGCCCGCGUUGGAUUAGCUAGUUGGUAGGGUAAAAGCCUACCAAGGCGACGAUCCAUAGCUGGUCUGAGAGGCUGAUCAGCCACACUGGGACUGAGACACGGCCCAGACUCCUACGGGAGGCAGCAGUGGGGAAUAUUGGACAAUGGGCGAAAGCCUGAUCCAGCCAUGCCGCGUGAGUGAUGAAGGCCUUAGGGUUGUAAAGCUCUUUUACCCGGGAUGAUAAUGACAGUACCGGGAGAAUAAGCUCCGGCUAACUCCGUG
rnacentral:rRNA from 1 species